CAAAAAGUAGCUUAAACCAAAGCAUUCAACUUACAAUUGAAACAUGUUAGAUAUUAUACUAACCUUUUUGC
rnacentral:tRNA from 1 species